UACAGGGGGGGCAAGCGUUGUUCGGAAUUACUGGGCGUAAAGGGCUCGUAGGUGGCCAACUAAGUCAGACGUGAAAUCCCUCAGCUUAACUGGGGAACUGCGUCUGAUACUGGAUGGCUUGAGUUUGGGAGAGGGAUGCGGAAUUCCAGGUGUAGCGGUGAAAUGCGUAGAUAUCUGGAGGAACACCGGUGGCGAAGGCGGCAUCCUGGACCAAUAUUGACGCUGAGGAGCGAAAGCUAGGGGAGCAAACGGG
rnacentral:rRNA from 1 species